rnacentral:tRNA from 1 species
AGUGGAAUGGCCGAGAUUAGGCGGUAAAUUGUAAAUUUACAUACGGGAUAAAUUCCUUUCACUA